CCUACGGGAGGCAGCCGUGAGGAAUAUUGGUCAAUGGACGAGAGUCUGAACCAGCCAAGUAGCGUAAAGGAUGACUGCCCUAUGGGUUGUAAACUUCUUUUAUCUGGGAAUAAAACGUUCCACGUGUGGGAUUUUGUAUGUACCAUAUGCAUAAGGAUCGGCUAACUCCGUGCCAGCAGCCGCGGUAAUACGGAGGAUCCGAGCUUUAUCCGGCUUUAUUGGGUUUAAAGGGAGCGUAGUGGGAUUGUUAAGUCAGUUGUGAAAGUUUGCGGCUCAACCGUAAAAUUGCAGUUGAUCCUGGCAGUCUUGAGUACAGUAGAGGUGGGCGGAAUUCGUGGUGUAGCGGUGAAAUGCUUAGAUAUCACGAAGAACUCCGAUUGCGAAGGCAGUUCACUGGACUGCAACUGACACUGAGGCUCGAAAGUGUGGGUAUCAAACAGGAUUAGAUACCCCAGUAGUC
rnacentral:rRNA from 1 species